GGAUGUUUGUGGGCUAGGAGACAGUGACAAAUUUGCUUCUUUCGUAUUAGUUAAAAUAUCUUUUUGGUUUUAUAUUAUAUAUACACGUUUACUUUGAAAAUGUCGAUAGUCUGUGCGUUUACCUGAAAGCAGUAUCUGUAAAAUAACUGACGUUGGCUGCUCACGGCCUCUCCCUCGUGGUCGUAAUUUUAUUUAGUUAAGCAUUUUUAUCGAAUAUGACUUGAUAAUUUUUUAGUAAGCUUUUGAAAAUGCUUGCUGCUUAUAAAUAUUGUUGUGUAGAGAACCAAAGUCCAAGAAACGGUGCGAAAGGGCAAACGCAGAUUUCUUGUUGGAUGGCAGGCCGUUGACGCCAACUGUUGACAACCAUUAUGUUGGAUGAGAGAAAUUGAGGCUGGUAGACGAUGCCAACAGUUGACGACCAAUUGGUUGGAUGGAAGAAAUUGAGGCCAGUAGAUGAUGCCAACAGUUGACGAUCAGUUGGUUAGAUGAGUGAAAUCAGUUGCCUUGUAGCAGAUGCCAUCUUUCAGCAAAAAAAAGAGUUUGGAUGAGAAAAACAGAGGCUGCCAGGUAGCUGAUGCCAACAAUAGGCGACCAAUGGUUUGGAUCAAACUGAAGCUGCUAGAUAGCUGAUGCCAACAAUACACAGCCAAUAGGUGAGAAUGAGUUUAAGCAAAAUCUUUUAAAGAAAUGCCAUGUUAUGAUGAAUCUUUAGAC
ensembl:processed_transcript si:ch73-25f10.6 si:ch73-25f10.6